rnacentral:rRNA from 1 species
UACGUAGGGGGCAAGCGUUGUCCGGAAUCAUUGGGCGUAAAGAGCGUGUAGGCGGCUCGAUAAGUCUGCUGUGAAAGUCCAGGGCUCAACCCUGGAAGGCCGGUGGAAACUGUCGGGCUAGAGUCCGGAAGAGGCGAGUGGAAUUCCCAGUGUAGCGGUGAAAUGCGUAGAUAUUGGGAGGAACACCAGUGGCGAAGGCGGCUCACUGGACCGGAACUGACGCUGAGGCGCGAAAGCGUGGGGAGCAAACAGG